rnacentral:rRNA from 1 species
GACGAACGCUGGCGGCGUGCUUAACACAUGCAAGUCGAACGGAAAGGCCCUGCUUUUGUGGGGUGCUCGAGUGGCGAACGGGUGAGUAACACGUGAGUAACCUGCCCUUGACUUUGGGAUAACUUCAGGAAACUGGGGCUAAUACCGGAUAGGAGCUCCUGCUGCAUGGUGGGGGUUGGAAAGUUUCGGCGGUUGGGGAUGGACUCGCGGCUUAUCAGCUUGUUGGUGGGGUAGUGGCUUACCAAGGCUUUGACGGGUAGCCGGCCUGAGCGGGUGACCGGCCACAUUGGGACUGAGAUACGGCCCAGACUCCUACGGGAGGCAGCAGUGGGGAAUAUUGCACAAUGGGCGGAAGCCUGAAGCAGCAACGCCGCGUGCGGGAUGACGGCCUUCGGGUUGUAAACCGCUUUCGCCUGUGACGAAGCGUGAGUGACGGUAAUGGGUAAAGAAGCACCGGCUAACUACGUG